rnacentral:rRNA from 1 species
UACGAAGGGGGCUAGCGUUGUUCGGAAUUACUGGGCGUAAAGGGCGCGUAGGCGGUCGUGUGCGUCGGAGGUGAAAUCCCCGGGCUUAACCCGGGAGCUGCCUCCGAUACGGCAUGGCUUGAGUCCGGGAGAGGGGAGCAGAAUUCCCAGUGUAGCGGUGAAAUGCGUAGAUAUUGGGAGGAAUACCGGUGGCGAAGGCGGCUCCCUGGACCGGUACUGACGCUGAGGCGCGAAAGCGUGGGUAGCAAACAGG